UCGUGCAGCGAGUAGCAAGGCUCGGCUGCGUCUCGUCUGUGGGGAUUCGACUCGACGCUUUGGAGGAACUUGUCCAUGGCUGUUUUUGCCUGGAAUUCUCGCGUGAGGGUGUGACAUCUUUGUAUUUCAAGCUGAUUUCGUGCUUCUGCGCCGCAAAACAAGGGGAAGAAGCGGGCUCGAGCUGCAACCGGCAUGAUUAAAGUGACACUUGGGGCCAGCUGGAUAGCAUGUUCGGUUCUCAGGUACCAAGUACUACAAAUAUCCAUGCAUGAAAAUGGUUACACAGUGUUUAGGCUCUCAUAUUGCAUAUUUUGAGGGGCCUUGGAAUAUUCUCGGAAUAUAGGUUUACACAAAUUUGAGAAA